CCUACGGGGGGCAGCAGUGAGGAAUAUUGGUCAAUGGCCGGAAGGCUGAACCAGCCAUGCCGCGUGAAGGUCAGUGCCCUAUGGGCGUUAAACUUCUUUUGUGCGGGAGCAAUAAUGGUCACGUGUGGCCAGACGAGAGUACCGUACGACUAAGCAUCGGCUAACUCCGUGCUAGCAGCCGCGGUAAUACGGGGGAUGCAAGCGUGCUCCGGAUUUAUUGGGUUUAAAGGGUGCGUAGGCUGUGAGGUAAGUCAGCGGUGAAAUGCCCCCGCUCAACGGGGUGGAGUGGCAUUGAUACUGCCUUGCUGGAAUGCGGAUGCCGUGGGAGGAAUGUGUGGUGUAGCGGUGAAAUGCAUAGAUAUCACACAGAACACCGAUUGCGAAGGCAUCUCACGAAUCCGCGAUUGACGCUGAUGCACGAAAGCGUGGGUAUCGAACAGGAUUAGAUACCCUUGUAGUC
rnacentral:rRNA from 1 species